CUGACGCCGACCGAAAUGGAAAAAUGAGAAAAAACGCCGCUUAUUGUGUCUUGAAUUUGGAAUAUUGGAAUGUGUUUUAAAUCAUUCGUGAUCUUAGUAAUUUUUUAAGUGUUUAAUUAUUGUGAAGUUUUAUUGUAUUGUUCGAUUGUUGCUACUUUGAGGAAAAAUGAAUAAUCAAUUGCUAGACAUUAGUAAAAACUACCCGACAACGGUGACAACUUGAUCAGCAGUUAGAAUGUCUACUUUUAAAUCCAAAAGUAAGCGUCAGCAAAGACGUUUAAUUAACGCAAAGGUAGAGAAAGUAAUUGGUGAAUUGCGAGCUGAAAAUUUUACCUCCGAGGCUGGCUCUGAAGAUUCUCAUUGUCCUCAGCCCAUAGUACAAAUCUGUACAAAUAACCAUACUUAUUCUACGCCAUCAACUUCUUCAGGUUCUAUUUUUAAUGAAAAUUUAUUCAGUUUACAUAAAAAAAAUCACAUACUGAUGAUACCUUUGAUGAUUUGAAAGAACUAAAUGUAUUAUUAGAAAAUGAAGAACAAUUUAAAACUCUUUGCAUGAAACUUAGUUUAGUUGGCGGAAAAGAUGUUGCCACAUGCACAAGAAAAAUUCUUUCUCGCUUAAUUUCACAUCAAUUAACUCUUAAUUUAAAUUGGACGGGAAGAAAUGAAAAAAGUGGUCUUAAAGAGCUUGGAAAUGUAGUUAAGGUCAUUGUAGGUAAGUAGCUUAAUUCCAGGGUAAAUUAGAUACAUUUAAAAAAAUAUAUAUCAACUUUUUUUUUUAAAUAUACGGCCUUAUUAUCAAUUA